UGUAAGCUUGAAUUCUCCUCUUUUGAUUUAACUAAACCUACGAAUAGUCCUCUACCGAGAUAAUCGCAAAACGGUUAAGAAGUGCCAGUGACUUAAGCGCCACCCUCCUAGGAGAGGUCACUGGACCUUUUGAACGCCCGGCAAAGACUCUUAAACUUUGGGCGGGUGCGAUAUUUCCCAAUUUCACUCCAAUCUACGGUAUGUCGCUAUAUCCAGAAGGCUAGACUCCCUCAAAAAAACUCCGCGGGUUGGUUCGAUAUCAUUUAAACAAAAGAUGAUUGUUAGGUUCUAAAAGGUUUUUCAUUUUCGACAUUUUUUUAUUCAGAUCUAAAUAAGCCGACACCGUCAGUGAGCGAAAGAUAAUACUAUGUCUAACUAAUGGCGCCAAACUUCUAUCUCCUAUCUUUUAAUGUUUCUAAGAGUGCGUAAUAAUAGUAGGAACGUUCUUACUUGGCUAGCCGGCCGGCGAUGAUGAUGUAGUCUAUCCAGCGGCGGUUGUGGUUAGUUGUCCUUCGGGUGGCGGUAGUUUGUUCGCUUUGUCGAGUCGAUCAACUAGGUGGCCGCACCGACGACCGGGAGUAAUUACGGCCGUGUCCUAGGGGUAGAUGUGUCCCCGGCAGUUUUGGUAGAGAUCUUACGGCUUGCCCUCUAGCGAUUCGACUCGAAUUAAAGUCUCGUGUUCUUCACCCGGAAUUUGUACCCACGUUGGAUGGGUAUAGUCACCUAUUCAACGUGCACUCUUGUUACUAACGCACUUCAUAAUAUCUCAAAAAUGGCUUACCUGAUAGUAUCAAACUUCGCUCACUUUAUAUAUAAAUAACCGCCAAAUCACUGAAUUUUCUAACAAAUCUAGGUCAUUUAAAAAAAACUAGUUAGAACCUUUUUUUAUAUUUAAAAAUUUAAAUAGUUUUGCCUUACUUUAUACAGUAAGUAUUUCACGCGCACUGCGAACUUAGAAACAAUUACCGACUGCUCGAACACAACUAAUCUCGAUAAAGAUCUCCACCAAAGUGGCUUUCAACCUGAUCUUAUGCAAUCUCCGCGGUAGCACAUGCCUUACACGCGCUUCAAUCUGAUUGGUCGUAAUUCUACCCAAUUGUUUCUUUUGUAGCAUUAUUAAUUGUUUAAUUCUUCGAUCCCCCCUAGAUUAGAGUGAGUGGGAAGGAUAUACGCACGCAUGUAGGCUUUUUGUUGAACCGGACACACAUUCUAGUUCCGCUGUCGCCCGCUAGGAUCUUAAGUUUAUGAACUGUUAUACAGUAGGGCAACGACCCACCUACUGUACCAAUGAGAUGGAACAAAUUGAUUUGUUACAUUCGCUCAUGCUAAAUUCUGGAAAUAGUUUUUACUAUUUUUUUUAAUGGUAUUUGAUCAACCUGAAGUUUGUGCUAAGAUAAAUAAGUACAGACACUUCUUUCUUUGUCGUGCAAAUAUCUCGGUAUAACGUUCAUCUAUUGUCAAUUGGUGUUGGUGUGGGGUUUUCGAAUCUCUCAUUCAUUCUUACUACUCGUUUACUCAAUCCCUAUUCAUUCCAUUUGUCAGCGAUCGCGUUGACAAUUUCCCUCUACUUAUCAAGAGGACCUAUGCACGAACUAUCGCACGAUCUUAACUUCACAUGGUUGUGAAACAUCCUAUCAAGACUUAUUAAAAUUACUCCAUAGAUCUAUGGACAAUUUCUCUACAGACUUAUUUACUUCACAAUUUAGUGAAUUGAAAUUAUUCUUUUAUCAUUAAUACCUCAGUCACAUUCUCGUACAUUCACUCUAUAUGAUUCGAACACUUAGGCUAUUGUUACGGUGAUGCUUACUUCAAGACGCAAAAGGAAAAUUGACAUUUCUGUCAAAACCACUUGACUUAUUAGAAUUGAUGGAGUGGAUGACAGUAUGAUAUAGAUUGUGGAUGUACGAACAUUUUCACGGGACAUCGUGAUAUUCAAUACUGGUUUCUGUUAUUUAUUUUGCGUGGUCUAUGUUAUUUAUUUACGUUCUGGAUGGAAGCUUUUGGACGUAUGGAUGACGGGUAUGUUUUGCGGGUAAGUAUUUGGCUUCCAAAUAUCGGGGAUAUUAACGGCGAAUACCGAAUACAUUUAAUACAUGUAACAAGACGCUAAUGUUAACCUCAACAUCCGGUUUACCAAUUGGACGAGCAUUUAAUUACGACUAUGUUCAACAAUAUUAUGUUAAUAUACUAUGGCCAAUGCGUGCAUUUAGAUUCUGUUAUGGAUUAUGUACGAGUUCCGUUCAUACCGACAUAUCUCUGUACAAGUAAGCUUUAGGCUUUCUUGAGGAACGAGGCAUGAUAAAUUCCAGGGAUUCGUUUACCAGAUAGGUCUUCUAGAGCAAAUGUAUUAGACCCGAUAUUUGUCCUUAUUCGAACCUUAGUAAACUUGUUUGCAAAUUUUCCAACAAAAUUUUUACUUUUAUCUGACAGGUUUAUAUUUUUUUUGUAAACGAUCUCUCCUUCUACAAAUUUGCGAUUAGGGUUAGAUCGUAGGUUGUAAUAAUAAGAAUAUUUGUUAUACGCGUUCUUCACAUUGUGUUGUACACUUUCCAGGAGCUUUUUCUGGUCUUCUUUUGAUUGGGAAAGUUUUUUAUCGGCGGUUUCCAUGAUAUUCUCGUACUCUUUACCGCUGCUGAUCAUAUUUCUCUCGAAGUUAAGAAAAUAAGGAGUAAACCCCGUCGAGUCGUGCACUGUCGUUCGAAUUGCCAUCGCAAUUUGGUUAAUAUCUUCAUCACAUUCUCUAUGCGAGCUCUUCGUGUUCAACGAACACCGAAUCGCGGUAACAAUGACUCGGUUGACGCGUUCAGUAGGGUUUGGCCCAGGGUGAUACACAGCCAAGUUCCAAUGGUUAACUUGGUAAGUUUUCAAUAAAUUCUCAAAUGUUUUGGAUGUAAACACCGCAGCAAUGUCUGUUAUACAAAUUGACGGAACCCCAAAUACUAAGAAGACCAUGUUUUCCAAGAAUGCGCAUACUGCAGGUGAUGUGGCCGAUCGCAUGCACUGAAUCAUAACGAAUUUAGAAAAGAAAUCGGAUACCACCAAACACCACAUGUUGCCUUUCUUGGAGCGUGGGUAUGGGCCAAUGAAAUCUAAUGAGAUCAUUUCCCACGGCCGAGAGCAUAACUUCCUUUUACCACAUGGUGGGGUAACGUUAACGUUAUCGAUUUUCGAUUCCUUACAGACCUCGCAUGUACUACACACACGUUCAACGUCAGACCUCAUUUUCGGCCAAUAAUAUUUCUCUCGAAUUUUUUGGAGUGUUUUCGCAUAUCCAAGGUGUGCUUCUUGAUGAGUGAUUCUAAUUAUGUUUCGUCGCUCUACUGCAGGUACAACAUAUUUCCACCUAAAACCCGUAUCGUCUAACCCGGUUGUAUUCGUAAUGAACUUAUACACUUUGCCAUCUACAACUUUAAAAUCUUUGUAGCGCUCAGGGUGCUUCACGAUUUGGUCGCGUAGGCCUGUUAUGUAUGCAUCAGGUGUAUCCAUCAAUAUAGAAUUAACCCCCCUUGACAAGAAAUCGGCUGACAGGUUUUCUGAACCCUUCUUGUAUUCGAAUGAUGCAUCGUAUUUCGACAAUUUGAGGGCCCAUCUUGCAAUUCGAGGAGACUUAGAUUCAAUGGACAUAGAUCGUAAGAAGGUCAAGCUCAUGGCAUCCGUCUGUACCACGAAAUGUGUUCCCUCUAUAAAGUGUCUGAAAUUUUCAAUACUUAGCAAGACUGCUAAACAUUCUCGUUCAGUGGCACUAUACCGCCUUUGGGUACUCGAUAGCUUUUUGGAAAAAUAGGCUAGACAUUUGCGUUCUCCCUUUUGAAUUUGGGUCAACACAGCUCCAAUAGCUUGGUCUGAACUAUCGGUUUCUAUAAUGAACGGUAAAUCAAAAUCAGGGUUGGAUAGGAUCGGUGCGGACACUAACGCGGACUUUAGUCUACGAAGAGCGCGUUCCGCUUUAUCAGUUCAUGUAAUCGUUUUCCCCUUUUUUAAUAGAUCUGAUAUCGGAGCGGUGAUGUCCGAAUAAUUAGGCAGAAAUUUUUGAUAAAAUCCAGCUAGUCCCAAGAGUCUACGAAUAUCCUUAACCGUUUUCGGGGUAGGGUACUCGAGGACUGGUUGUAGUUUCGAAGGAUCGAUUGACAAUCCGUUCUCUGACAAUAUGUAGCCUAAAUAUUUAAUCUUUUUUGACAGAAAUUAGAUUUUUGUAUAUUUAUCGUGAGUCCAGCAGCACGGAAUCUAUCGGCGAUUAUUUCCAAGAGACGUAUGUGGGUAGCGAAAUCUUUUGUCGCCACAAUCGUAUCGUCUAGAUAUGUGUACACGUAAGGUUCUAAAUCGCGGCCCAACACUUUCGUCAUCAGACGUGCCAUCGCGGCGGGUGCGUUUGUCAAUCCGAACGGCAUUACAGUAAACCUAUAGAGUCCUUUAUUCGUUCGGAAAGCUGUUUUAUUUUUAGAGUUUUCUUCUAGAGGGACCUGAAAAUAUGAUUCGGAGAGGUCAAUUAUCGAGAAAAAUUUUGAUUCUUUUAUGCGGUGAAGUAUAUUCGUCAUA